rnacentral:rRNA from 1 species
CCUACGGUGGCAGCAGUGGGGAAUAUUGGACAAUGGGCGAAAGCCUGAUCCAGCCAUGCCGCGUGUGUGAAGAAGGCCUUCGGGUUGUAAAGCACUUUCAGUGGGGAAGAAAGCCUUGGGGCUAAUACCCUCGAGGAAGGACAUCACCCACAGAAGAAGCACCGGCUAACUCCGUGCCAGCAGCCGCGGUAAUACGGAGGGUGCGAGCGUUAAUCGGAAUUACUGGGCGUAAAGCGCGCGUAGGCGGUCUGAUAAGCCGGUUGUGAAAGCCCCGGGCUCAACCUGGGAACGGCAUCCGGAACUGUCAGGCUAGAGUGCAGGAGAGGAAGGUAGAAUUCCCGGUGUAGCGGUGAAAUGCGUAGAGAUCGGGAGGAAUACCAGUGGCGAAGGCGGCCUUCUGGACUGACACUGACGCUGAGGUGCGAAAGCGUGGGUAGCAAACAGGAUUAGAUACCCGAUAGUC